rnacentral:rRNA from 1 species
UUAAAUUGAAGAGUUUGAUCAUGGCUCAGAUUGAACGCUGGCGGCAGGCCUAACACAUGCAAGUCGAACGGUAACAGGAAGCAGCUUGCUGCUUCGCUGACGAGUGGCGGACGGGUGAGUAAUGUCUGGGAAACUGCCUGAUGGAGGGGGAUAACUACUGGAAACGGUGGCUAAUACCGCAUAACGUCGCAAGACCAAAGAGGGGGACCUUCGGGCCUCUUGCCAUCAGAUGUGCCCAGAUGGGAUUAGCUUGUUGGUGAGGUAACGGCUCACCAAGGCGACGAUCCCUAGCUGGUCUGAGAGGAUGACCAGCCACACUGGAACUGAGACACGGUCCAGACUCCUACGGGAGGCAGCAGUGGGGAAUAUUGCACAAUGGGCGCAAGCCUGAUGCAGCCAUGCCGCGUGUAUGAAGAAGGCCUUCGGGUUGUAAAGUACUUUCAGCGGGGAGGAAGGUGUUGUGGUUAAUAACCGCAGCAAUUGACGUUACCCGCAGAAGAAGCACCGGCUAACUCCGUGCCAGCAGCCGCGGUAAUACGGAGGGUGCAAGCGUUAAUCGGAAUUACUGGGCGUAAAGCGCACGCAGGCGGUCUGUCAAGUCGGAUGUGAAAUCCCCGGGCUCAACCUGGGAACUGCAUUCGAAACUGGCAGGCUUGAGUCUUGUAGAGGGGGGUAGAAUUCCAGGUGUAGCGGUGAAAUGCGUAGAGAUCUGGAGGAAUACCGGUGGCGAAGGCGGCCCCCUGGACAAAGACUGACGCUCAGGUGCGAAAGCGUGGGGAGCAAACAGGAUUAGAUACCCUGGUAGUCCACACCGUAAACGAUGUCUACUUGGAGGUUGUGCCCUUGAGGCGUGGCUUCCGGAGCUAACGCGUUAAGUAGACCGCCUGGGGAGUACGGCCGCAAGGUUAAAACUCAAAUGAAUUGACGGGGGCCCGCACAAGCGGUGGAGCAUGUGGUUUAAUUCGAUGCAACGCGAAGAACCUUACCUGGUCUUGACAUCCACAGAAGAAUCCAGAGAUGGAUUUGUGCCUUCGGGAACUGUGAGACAGGUGCUGCAUGGCUGUCGUCAGCUCGUGUUGUGAAAUGUUGGGUUAAGUCCCGCAACGAGCGCAACCCUUAUCCUUUGUUGCCAGCGGUUAGGCCGGGAACUCAAAGGAGACUGCCAGUGAUAAACUGGAGGAAGGUGGGGAUGACGUCAAGUCAUCAUGGCCCUUACGACCAGGGCUACACACGUGCUACAAUGGCGCAUACAAAGAGAAGCGACCUCGCGAGAGCAAGCGGACCUCAUAAAGUGCGUCGUAGUCCGGAUUGGAGUCUGCAACUCGACUCCAUGAAGUCGGAAUCGCUAGUAAUCGUGGAUCAGAAUGCCACGGUGAAUACGUUCCCGGGCCUUGUACACACCGCCCGUCACACCAUGGGAGUGGGUUGCAAAAGAAGUAGGUAGCUUAACCUUCGGGAGGGCGCUUACCACUUUGUGAUUCAUGACUGGGGUGAAGUCGUAACAAGGUAACCGUAGGGGAACCUGCGGUUGGAUCACCUCCUUACCUUAAAGAAGC